rnacentral:lncRNA from 1 species
GAGACUAGGGUUUCGGCGAAGAUAAAGCCAUCGAGGCUGAACCACCGGUGCAGGUAUCAUCUUCAUCAUCUAAACUAUCUUUACAUCUGACACCAGAUCGGCUUCCUCAUUAUCAUCACCACCAUUUCUAGGGUUUCUUUACCAGUCGCUUCAAGAUAUACGCUUCCUCAGCGAUGAAUCUCUCUAGAUCCAACACGAGAUCGACUGAUCUGCCGUUGAGUUGUUCGUGUUAGGGUGCACCGGAAUAACCAGAUGUGCUGGAUAACCAGUCGAUCUCUACAAAAUUUCAGUAAGAAAAUCGCGGGGUCCACCAAGGAGACUAUGAAACUACGCUCACUGACUCUAUAUCGCGAGGACUCCGAAGCAAACGGUGUGUCUAGCUGAUAUUUAACAGUGUCGUAAAGUGGGAUAGCACGAAAAUAAAAAAAGGUAUUUGUUGCAUCCAACAUUUGCACACGGAAGUACUCUGGUCUUAUACGAGGUCCUGACCGGAAAGCGUUACAUUUGUGACAUUAUUGCUGAUUCUGUGGUUCUUGGUUUCUUCAUUGAAGCCGAAAAGAUACUCUCAGUGCUCGGAAUCGAUGAUGCAGUUGAUGACUUUUUGUGGCAGGAAAGCUCAAUCAUACUCUCGAAACUCUUGGUCCCGCAGUCCCGCAAAUCUUUGAGAAAACGGCGAUGCAUGACCUACGGACUCUUGUGGCAGAAAGAUCAACUAUGAACACAUAUAUAAGCGGAGAGAGUUUUGAGAUAUGAUCGGUCUGUUAUUAGAAGGAUUCAUUAAAACGCAGGGUACGUUAGAACUUAUUACUGCACCAGCUGCACUAUUCCCGUCAUACGGCAACCGCAGUUUCCG